rnacentral:rRNA from 1 species
CAAUAGCGUAUAUUUAAGUUGUUGCAGUUAAAAAGCUCGUAGUUGGAUUUCGGGUGGGACGCAGCGGUCUCGCAUUGCGUUUGUACUGCUGCAGCCCUCCUUCUUGCCGGGGGCGGCCUCUCGGACUUCACUGUCUGGGGGUCAGAAUCGGCGAUGUUACUUUGAGUAAAUUAGAGUGUUCAAAGCAAGCUUACGCUCUGAAUAUAAUAGCAUGGGAUAACACGACAGGACUCUGGCCUAUCGUGUUGGUCUAUAGGACCAGAGUAAUGAUUAAGAGGGACAGUCGGGGGCAUUCGUAUUCCGUUGUCAGAGGUGAAAUUCUUGGAUUUACGGAAGACGAACAUCUGCGAAAGCAUUUGCCAAGGAUGUUNUCAUUUA